CCUGGUGGCUCAGAUGGUAAAGCAUCUGCCUAUCAUGCAGGAGACCCGGGUUCAAUCCCUGGGUCAGGA
rnacentral:tRNA from 1 species